GGGGAACCGAGCAGUAGAGAGGUACAGGGGAGCUGUUACUAGCAUGUUGGACCGCGUUAUCUACAAUGAUUUCAUCACGUAAGGAUUGGAAAAUGGAUCCUCUUUCAACAUGAAGCUGGAUUGAUAUUAAGGAUGGGGUGCCGUGCAGGCUGCUGACGAGAAGGGAUGCAACGGAGGAGGUCAUUUUCCCGGACAGGGAUGGAGGGAGGCAACGGCCCCCGCAGUGUAGUGAGAGGAGCAGAGUGAGCUAGCUAGCAAUAUAGAAGGACUUCCGGAGUAGAUUUUCAGAUUAAAACGACGUGACGAAAACAGGGUUUGAUUUGAUUAAAAUUUCGAUGUAAUACUUGAACCCACGCUCUUAAUAUCGUAACACACGUAAAAGUUAAUUGCUGACAAAAAAGUCUUCAUGAAUUCUCCUCGAAUUAACACAAGUGUAAAAACAUCCAGCUUUUACUUUGACAGUGUUCCAAAGCCAGUGCUUGUCAGCGGGCGGUAGCUUGACUCGCACAAGACGAGGUGAAGUUACAAAGCCUCGGACCAAAACAAGACUUUACAGCCUGUAGCGGACAACGACGCCUUGUUAUGAAUGGGACCUACCUCGUCUCCCUGCGUGUUCUUCGACUCAAAUGCCUUUAAACCCGCAGGAUUCGUAUUUUAUCUCAUAUCGGAGCACCCCAUGGAAAAAUACGGUUUGCCCUUUAGAAUCAGCAUGGACCGUCCAACACUGACAAACAAAAAGAAGCUCUUGUAGCCGGAGGAGGAUUGCCUUCUCCUACUUUUUGUUUGGCUCAAUGACGGGACCCAACUCCCCAAGCCGGGCUGGGACCUCCCCGGCCAAGCUGAGCAGGCACGGCCGCUCCAAGAGCACCAGCGCACACUGCCUCCUCCGCUGCAGUACCCAGGAGGAUUCGUCCACGUCUCCCCCUAACACCGGUUCACGGUCCCCUGGGGAGGAAGAGGAGAAGGAUGGAGGGAUUCUUUUCUAUGUGAACAGGACUGGUUUUCCCAUCGAGAGCGUGACCUGGGAUAGGAUGUGGUCCCAUGUGGGUGCUGUGCAUCCCGAGGGACAGGAGAUGGUGGAUAGGAUACGUAAUGCUGCAUACCUUCCCAAGCACUCUAUUCCUUCAGUCCCGACCUUCAAGCCGUCCAUGUCCGUCCCUGAUUGGCUCGUGGCCGUCCAGAACUUCAUGAAGACUCUGCAAUACAAUCACACAGGAACCCAGUUCUUUGAAAUCAAGAAGAGCCGUCCUCUCUGUGGGUUAAUGGAGACGGCAAGAGAGAUGAUCAGGGAGUCUUUGCCAAUCAAAUGUCUCGAGGCCGUCAUCCUGGGAAUCUACCUGACCAACGGCCUGACGUCUCUCGAGCGUUUCCCCAUCAGCUUUAAAACCCAGUUUUCGGGUCACUGCUUCCACCACGUCGUGCUCGGCGUCUACUGCAACGGCCGCUACGGAUCUCUGGGCAUGAGCCGCCGCCAGGACCUGAUGGACAAGCCGCUGACUCACCGCACGCUGGGGGAGCUGGUGGCCGAGUUCGAGAGCUCCUACAAGCGAUACCAGCACACUCUGAAGAAGGUGAAGAUUGGCCUGUAUGUGCCUCACGACCCCCACGUCUUCCAGCCAAUCGAGUGGAAGCAUUUGGUGCUGAACGCUGCCCGACUGGGACCUCAAGAGAUGAGGAAGGAGCUGGAGAAACACGGCCGAGACAUGAGGAUGAAGAUCCUCAAAUCAUCCAGUGCCCAGUCACCAAUCAAGGAGCGGAGCCGGGGGAAAUCCUUAUCGCCACGCCGACGACAGAUCAGUCCCCAGCGACGCUUCGCACAUCGCAGAGACAAAUCGCCGGCGUCGGUGGAGAGGAAACCUCCGGAGCUCAGCACUCUGAACGACGGAUACCAGAUCCGCAUCUGAUCCUCCUGCUUCACCUCACAGUCUUCUUUCAAUCCACCCUGCCUUCAUAUCCACCCUGAUCCAAGACCUGCCACCCCGUGUUUUCAGGAGAGGAGUCACUGCAGCACGGAGAGAAACUCGGCUGGAUUUUACUCACACCAGGUGGAUGAUAAAAACAAAAAAAAAGCUUUUGUGAGCAGGAACUGAAAGAAGUUGUUAGAAACUCAAGACAGAAUGUGACAGUGGGUCUGGUUUUUAAACCUAAAGGUGGUCACUGAACGGACUAAGAGUUCCUGACAGCCGCUCGGACACUCUUCAACUGAGUAGCUUUAGAACUUACCCUCAAGUUCAGAAGAAGUUCUACCAGUUUAAACCCGGAUCAAAUCGACUGACGGGAGGAAAUGAACGGCGGAGAGGUUUUGUUUCCUGACAGUAGAUUUAUCCAAACCUUUCAGUAAUCCUUCAGAGACUGAGUGUCUCCGAGUCGUGCCUAAAAAAAGAGACUAUCUGUCCUGAUCAAAAGGAUUAUAAACAAUAUUUAAAAACUGAGUUUGUGCUUAAAUGAAAGACCCCCCCCAAAGACAUCGUAGAGUCGAACGAUUUGAGCGGGCGAGGCUAGAAUAAGAAGAGGACGUUCAAUAAAGUAUGCUGGGAAAUCAAAGCCUUAGAGAGUCGAUGGAGAGGGAACAGAGGGAUAAAAGAGACGAGGAGAGGAUUCACUGCAGGAGAUCAGAGGGCGAUCAUUAGAGCACUGCGGCAAACCUCCUGUCCCCCCACCCUCUUCUUCUUCUCCUUCUUCUCCUCUCUUUCUCCCUCUGUUGACACAAAACACAUCAACACCUCUAUGUCUCGAUCAGAGUGUUCAGAAAGUUUAGGAACCCCCGGCUCUAGACGAAGAUGAGAGAGCAGGUUUGAGCACAAAUCAGUUUCUCUAAAGCCAAAACAGGUCACUCACGACAACUGUAACCGUGGUUACCGAAACCUCUACAAAGUGAUUGCCGUUAGUCGUAGUAACAUGCGUGAGAGAACCAGUGGAAACACUGGUUUUAGUGGUGAGACAGGGCCAGCAGAAGGUGAGCAGAGCUUCGGCCAAACUCAGCUUCACACAUUCAUCCAGCUGCCUGCUGAGCUCACAUCUGGAGUUCAGCUGCAGCCGGUUAGUCCUCAGAGAGAGGCAGACCGGGAGUGGAGACAGAUGUCGAUGGCUAAGUGAGAACUAAACGCUCCAUUGAAGACAGAUUUAUUUGGCAGAGGCUCUGUGCAUACUGUCAGCAUGUCCGGACUGCAGCCUUACAGCCAAUCAGAGCUCUGAGGUGUUUUAUUGUUCUUUCAUGAUGUAUUUCACAGUUUCAGUUUUUGAGCAGGAGAUUUAAAAGAGGGACGGGAAACCACGAGAGUGUUUGUGUGACGUCUCCUCGCUCCUUGAAGUGACCUGUCAGAAUCCGUUCCCCUCGUGUUUGCACUGUUUCACGCUCGGAUGAGUCAUGUAUCAAAAGGAACCGUCCAAAAAAUCCAAUCGAGUUUGAAUUUGAUUGUGUUUUUUGUGUUUUUUUGUGGGUUUUUUUUGGAUUCUCCUGUUGAGGCCUUCGAUGAAUCUCACAGCUCGAGAUCUCACGUCACACUGAUAUCAAGGAUGAGGCAGUAAAUGUUGUUAAAGCUUGAAAUGAGAAAAACACUCGCAGAGAGAAGAACAUCACAUAUCAAAGCAUCGGUUCUUCUCACACUGUCGAACGCAGACACAGUUCAGAGGUUUGUUCAUGUUUGAUUCAUCCACAGAAUGUAGUGUACAGGGAGAAGCCUUCAGACUGACAACUAUACAGUCAGAUGUCUUUGAGUGAACAAAGCCGAGCCCCUCCCCUCCUGGAUAACAUCCAUAAAUUCAAACUUUAAGUGAAGUGAUGAUGAAACUUUUUCACCUUUCCACUUCUUUAGUUUUCAUCUGAAGGAUUACCUUGAAGUAAAGUUUGUUUUUUUACUGAAGUCAAAUCAGAUGGUGUUACAUCUCUGUCCAUCCAAGCUGCACCAGGCAGGUUUUUGUCUGGAAAUGAUCGAACAUAAAUGUGACCGUUGCAUCAAAACAGAAGACAAAACGUCCUUCUUAAAGGCUCUCUGUGAAGGCUCUGGUAGUGCUUUUGGAACGAUGUUUUUGAAGCCCUGCGUACACUGUGUGACUGUAUCAAAGUCGGGCUGGGAUGUCAGCUCACUCUGAACGACUGAAUCGUUUACGACGCACGACCACAGCUCGCGAUUAAUGUGCUCACUCUGUAGGCUACAACCUGAGAGCUCAAGCUGUACGAGGUAAAUCAGGACGGGCCAUUCACAAUUGUCGAUAGAUGUGAGUGUAUGUCAGCUGUCUUAAACGCACGGCUCAAAUACACACACAGCAGAGAGAGCCUCUCAUCUCUCUCUCACACUCAGCAAAAUCACAACAAAUAUUCCCUGUCAGCUGGAGGUCAGCUGAUAUUUCCUGCCGACGUUUCUUUCAUGAUUGGUGGAGGACAGAUUAAACAGGCAUGCCUGCUGUUGCCAUGGUGAUUUUGGACAUUGUCUGUCACUUUAUGUGCAGACACAAUCAGGAAAAGAGUCCGGAAGUAAGUCAGGGAAUCGACUCGUCGCUCUAAUGUCAACGUGCUAGUGUACGACCAAAAUAUCAAACAUGCCAGAAAAUCAUCCAACCAUCUUACGACUCAAAAAUCGUUUCUAAAUCCGCCUGAAAUCAUACAGAGUGCGCCCGGCUUAAGCUGUAACCAGGACAGGGAUGAGCCUUCUCUGUUGUUUUGAUGCUCUUGGUCCUUUCAUGAUUCGGUGGAGGAAGUUUAAAAUGGCACCAACAGAUCCACAGAAAGACAGCGAGCAACCAUACAAGGAUGUUUCACUAGCUUACCUUUGAAUGCUAACAAGAAACCUGCCUGGUGCAACUUCUACGUCCCAUGUGACGGAGCAGAGAGGGUCUUACAUGUCUGUAAAUGUUGCCUCAUUCUUCUUCUCUUGUUUUCGUCUCAUGAGUUGUAAUCCGGAGGACUUCAGGAGUCCGAGCUCGGAUUGUUUCUGAAUUCUGAAUUCUGUCUUUUGAUUGUUUCAUCUCUUUUUCUUUGAAUGUUUCACGCUCACUGAACAAGUUUGUUUGUUGCCAACAUACAAAAGAAAAACCCUACAGACAUCAUCAUAUCCCGGCUUUUUGAUUCCAACAGUGAGCUAUGCACGCCCUGCUAGAGAGCAGGUAAAAAAAAAACACAGAAAUCCUCGUCUUCCACUCUUCAAAACAUGGAGUAGGAGGCUGUUUGUGGCUCGAUCUACACAAAAACAAAUCACAUUUUUUUUAAAUCUGCAAAGACAGAAAUGAUCAGAUAGCUCGACUCGUCCAGUUUUCAGCCGCUCAGAAACUCUCAGAUCUUCUGUGUAGAUCCAAACGGAGCCAUCCUCACUGACUUUUCUUUUCUAUGUUUCUGAUGUUUGGCCAGCAGUGGACUAUAGCACAGCCCAGAGAGAGAGAGAGAGAGAGAGAGAGGUCUGACUCUCACAUCUCAACCUCUGGCACCAAACAACCAGCUCGUAGUGUUCAUAUCUGAAUCGGAGGUUUUAGUGUUCAUCAGCUUUCAGGAGAAGCACAAAGCUGCUUUGAUUGUUCAGACUUCCUCAAAGUUUCUCACAGAGGAACAGACAAAGAGUUUAACGCUCUGAAGUGGAAACAUAUCUUUGGACUUCUUCCUUCAGGAAAGACUUACGCAGAUGUUCAGAUGUUCUGGAUGAUGUUGGAGUGUUUUCUGGAUCUUCACAAAAGCAGAUUCAACAUCUACGUUUUACAAAACAGACGGAAAACAACGGACUCUCUGGAUUAAAAGACAAACACGGACACUCCUCUUGACAUUUCACCAAACAACAGUUUAGAAACAUGGACGUACAGAGACGACAAAAAAACAACAACAGGAAACGCUGAACGUCAAUGUAGCGACUGGAAGCUGCUUUUUGUGACUGAAUGUGUUCU